UAUUUUUAUGAAUAUUCAUUAGGGUUUUACUUGAAUCAUUGUAUCUGAUUGGCUGUUAAUAUUUCGCGGUCAAGUUUAAUUUCCUUUGUUUUGUACCUGUACAUUUCCACGGACGAUAGCCAUGACAGUCCAUUGAAUUUAUGUCUGUUUAUCUUGACCACAUAGUUUACCUGUAAACCUUAUAUAUUUUGGACAACAUUAUUAUAGAAUACUGAAUCCAUGUAAUGUAAUUAUGUAGAGAACAUGAUUGUUGUUUAUAUGAUGUGCCGUUAACCGUAUCAGUACAACUCACUCCACAAGUGACUUGUUUUAUAUACUGGUAAUAAAUCAUCAGAACCCUUAGCUCUUGUUGGUGUUAUCGUUAACGCAUAGAAAACCACCUACUACAAAUGGCGCCCACGUUUCGUUGGGUUGAUGGCACAUACCAGUUUUUGUGGAGAUCCAGAUGUGAAGUCAGUGACCACCAUUAGAUGUCUCGAGUCCAUGUAUGCAGUGACCAUGUGUGUUUGUUUACUUCCGUUAUGGUACCAUGUGAUGAACUUUACCACGUGCUUAUGUUUACUAACAUUCCAACCCAUGUGAUAAUCGUCCACGUGCGUUUGUUUACAGUUUACCGGAUGACAUUAUAGUACCGGAUGUUACUUAUAGUAACUUGACUUUUUGUUUUCAUUUUUGGAAAACUGAACUUUUAUUAUUCUACAUUGUGAAAUAUUGUGAUUCAAUUAUACUUUUGUGGAACAGUGUAAUUAUUGGAAUAGUUUUCUAGUUUAAGGUAGGAUUUAUUUAUUUACAUUAUAUACUGUAUACCAUUUUGAUACAUUGAAACUUAGCAUACACUUGAAACAUUUACACAUUUCGAAUUUAAUUUUGAAAUUUUGCAUCCACUUUUUGGACUUUAAAUAUUUUUUUUUGACGUCCUACAUUUUGACCUUUUCAUACUUAAACAUUUAUACACAUUAAAAAAAAUUUUUUUUUCAAUUUUUUUCCGAGGCUUACUUGGAUUUGGACUUAGUCUGUCAGAGGACAUGUACACUUAUAUUAUUUAGGCAUUCAUUUAUGGUGUACAUGUAUUACUGAUAGUGAUAAACAUACUUUGUAGAUUACAGUAGCAUAGCUACAUAGUAUAUAGCAUACACUUUUAUAUUUUAAAUUUAUUUUUCGGUAUACAGUUGUAGUGUAUUAUACUUACAUUGAACUAUAACCCACAUGGUAUAGGUCAAUGCUCAGUUGAACUUAGCAAUUAUAACACACAUUAUGUUUUAUGUGUAGCAUUGCUAGUUAAUAUUAGAUACAUAGUAUAUAUAUCGUUUUUAUAAAUGUACUUUGUAUAGUGACUUGGUACUUAAGUUGAUAUGAAUUAAAUUUAUCAUCAUAUUAUUUACAUAUUAGACAUUCACUGAGUUAGAUAGUACCUAGAUUUUGAGAUUGUUGAUAGACAUUGUUUAUUAUUUUUUAAUAUUGAUUAAAAAAUUUGCAUUUGAUCAUUUAGUGUGGUGGUGUUGACACUUGUUAGAUUUUUUCAUUAUUAUUGAACUUGAAUUAGGGUGAAUGAAUUGAAUGUUUAUAGGUACACUAGUUUACACCGUUUACCAUGUAUGAACAACCGAAUGAGCCAUGUUACAACGCAAUGUAUGACCAACCCUACAAUACCUACGACACUUUUG